UGACUUUUGGUGAUGAUGAUAUAUUGAAUUUUUAUUAUUUUUUUUUGGUUUAAGCUAACCAAUUGUAAAUAAUUUAGAUUAAUUUUACUUUUUUACUGAUUGGAAUCACAUACAAGGCAGGGCUUUUAUAAACCAGAGGGAGUCCAUGAAAUAUUUCUCAUAGUGUUUCCUAUUUAGACUAGAAAGAUAAUGAUUGAUAGAAAUGGAUAGCGAAGACAAAAUCCCACAUUGACCUGUCGCUUUAUAAAAUCUGUAGUCUCAGAUAAGCUUUGCCGUUUUUGAUUUGAUUUGAUUUGUGGCGUUAUCAAAAUGCCAAAUCUUGAAUGUUCUUAAUUGGAUCUAAUCUCGAUUAUGUUUGGUAUGCAUGUGUUUUUGGUGAUGAGAAAAAUAUACAUUCAUUAUCCAAAGAGUAUGCACUUGGUAAAUUCUGUUUUGUUACUCUAGUCAUGAAAGGACUAUAAUGAGGUAAAAUAUAUGUCUUUUCUACUAUAAUGUUUGGCAUUUUUUUUGAUAAUCAUGCAUUGAUUAUGUUAUUAUUAUAGUAUACUUUUUUUCUCCAAAAGGUUGAAUCCCCAACCAAUCUCAAAGACCAUCUCACACUUUGGCAUGACAUAGUAUUUGGAAGGACGUAAAUCACGAUAAUUUCAGUUGACAUGUCAAAUAUCUGCGGACUCAAGGGAUCUGCCUACUUUUGGCAUAAUCUCCACACUGUUGUUGUCGAGUUUAGAACAUUGGCCUCUUCUUCCAAAUACUACCUACUGAACCAGAACAAAUUGGGAUUGCUAAUGGCUCUGGCAAGGAGUUGGCACUUGGCAUGUUGGAGCUAGCCUGGCUCAUGGGACCUUAAUUAGCCCAAUUAAUGUGGUCAUCAUUGGAAGACUGGCAACAACUGAAUUAAAAGGACAUAUAGUAGAUACAGCAGCAGUGCGUGGGGUAUAUAUUGCAACCAAAGUUGAGAUUUUAAGGUUUUCUUGAAUCUUUAUUAAGGUCAUAUUGCAGUGUACAUGAAGUCCAGAUUGCUGUUAAAAAGUGUCAAAUACUCUCAUAUACAAAUACUUUUAUGGGUUGUUUGGUUUAUGAAAAUUUCAAUUUAUUUCC